GAUCAAGGGUUUAAGCUGCAAGUACUCAAUAUUUGGCUUUACAUUUCAGCUACUGGCCUUCAACACCACGGAGAGAGCUAUUGUGAGUAAUACUGCUAUGAUCACGGCUAUGCAAAUAUCUCUUCAAGAGCCCAUUUUUCAUUCUGUUGGAAGAAGUGGAAUUGCUGACCAUAUGCCUUCUGUGAAAGUGAUUCUGAAGGUGUGGUCCCUGGGCCAGCAGCAUCAACAUCACCUGGAACUUGUGAGAAAUGAAGAUUCUCAGGCUCUUCUCUAUACCUACUGAAUCAGACAUUGGGUGCAAAGGGGAACACUACAGUCUGUCUUUAAGGAGCCCUCAAGCCAGGAACAGUAAUUGCACAGAAGAAAUCCGAUCUCUGUUGGGAUGAUUAGACACUAAAUAUCAUCCUGCAGAUAAUUAAUUGGUACUUCUCAAUCAGAGGUAAAAUUUUGUCCUGAUGACUCUAAACUUUAGCCAGCUUCUGUGUUGUAUCCCAUGACUUCCAACUCGCAGCAUCCCAACAGACUUUACUCCUCUGCUGUUCCAUCUCAACCAGAGAAGACUGGGGCUCUAUGUCAGUCUCGACUUGAUACACUGAAGAUUUUCCAUGAG
ensembl:lncRNA novel transcript